AUUCUGGCAACUGAACGUUGGCAGUAAACGCAGCUUAGUUGUCCCAGAGGACUCACAAUGGGAAGUGCUUGUUGUAGUUGUUGCCUCAGAGAUCACGAUGAGGACUUGGUGCAGGAAACUUCAUCUGAAGAUGUCCCAGGCGUUCACAUGGUGGACAAAGACACACAGACAGACA
rnacentral:sRNA from 1 species